GCAGUCACUAGGGUAUGGCCCUUGAGUGCCAGCCUGGGAGUUUGCCCAAAGGUCCCUUCACUCUGCUUGCGCAGGGCCGACUGUUGGAGGCUCCCGGAGUGGCCCAGGGCUGCAUUUUCAAUGCAUGAUUCUGGCGACUUUAAUGGAAACCACAUGAAGAGUUCCCGGGAAGCAGACCAGAUGGCUCCCAGCGAAUGUAUUUAGCCCAACCUGGAGCUAACGGAAAAACAUAGCCGAUCCCAAGAGCUCCCUGACCCUGUGACAGGGCAGGUCUGUACCUGAAGUGUCCAGAGGCCUCGAAUCAGAACAGCCCGCCUUUCAGCAGAUUAUGAAGGAAGAGGCAUUUUUAUGCAGAGCAUUCCAUUUCAUGGUGGUUUCUGUCAUUACUGGGACAGAAGAGCACGCAGCAAGAAGCUGGUCACCAUGUGGCAGUCAGGAAGCAAAAUGAGAGAAAAUCUCAGCCCAAGGGCUUUCCCGUUUUACUCCUCCAAGCCCUCAGCUUGAAUGUGAUGCUGACUAAAUUCAGAGAAGGCACUUGUGCCUCAUCUAAGCUCUGGCUGGAGAAGUCUUCACAACUACACCAAGCAGCAUUCUCGCCUGGUCUCCUAGGCACCUGUGAAUCCAAUCAAAUUGACAGGCAAGACAGACGGUCACAGAUUCAUGACGAAGAGUACACCUCGUUGGCCGCAGGAAGCUUAUGUCUUAGAGAGACAAAGCUCUUGAAGCCUGUGUGGUGGGAGGCGUGGAGCUGUGUGCCACAGGAGUGAACGGAAAUAAAGAAGGAUUAGGAGCUGAAGAGCUGGCUUUGUUGAUGCAAGCAUGAAGACCAGAGUUUACGCCCCUAGCAGCCGCAUGAAAAGUUGCACGUGGCAGCAUAUAUCUCUAAUCCCAGCUCGGAAUCAGAGGAGGAAGGAUGCCUGAGGCGUGCUGGGCAGUAGCCCAGCCAAACUGACCAGCCCGGCUUCAGCCAGAGACUGAAAAAGGUGGAGCAUGAAUGAGGAAAAGCCUUGAUGUUAACCUCUGACCCCAGAUGAUCCGCGAUGACUUGACUUACAAGUUUCUGACUUCAGGAUGGUGCGUAAGACCCCACACCACCACUCUGCUCUUCAGGUUCUGUGUUCAACAAACUAGGACUUUAAAAUACCUUGUUAGAGAACGGGCUUUGCGUUUGAUGGGUCCUGGGGAUGGAGCUCAGGUCACCAGGUUUGCACAGCAAGCCCCUUAACCUGCUGAGCCAUAUCGCCAGCCCCUAAAGGAAGUUCUUAGUGAAGACUCUGCAAUACAGAAGUCAGACCAAGCAAAUCGAUGCCAUACACCAGACCCUGAGAAUGUGGACUUGAAAAACGAGCAAAGAAUGAUCAUGAGUUCCUUUAGGAUCCUUACAGAUUGAACAUUCACAUCAAAAUGUUCAAUUCAUUCAUUCAUUCAUUCAUUCAUUCAUUGAACAUUGCAGGGCUGGGAUCAAAGCCCAGCUUUGUGUCUAUGAGGAAAGUGAUGUAGCGGGGGCUACACUCGUGGUGAGUUCACUUUCACAGGGAUGCUCAACAUCUAGCAGGCUGUGGAGCUGAUCCACAGUUCCUCCAAGUCAGUGGUUCACACAUUGGGAUUCAGUGUCACUGUCUUUUCUCUUUUGUAUCACCACAUGUUGCUCGUGUAAAGCAAUGGGGUUGUCAUAACAGUGUCUUAUGUGCAUUCAGUGCACUUGGGCACACUCACACACGCCCACCGCCUUCUCUAUGCCCCACCCACCCCCCUUUCCCCUUCUCUAACAGCCCCCCCUUUACUCCAUCUUUUUCCCCACCUCAAAUUCCCACAAGUGAGAGAUGUGUGUCCUCGUGUUUGUGAGACUGGCUCAACUCGAAGACACACAGGUCCUUCUAUUUUACUGAAAAAGAUGCUUUUUAUUUACGGCUCAGUAAAUCCACACUGUGCACACCUCCCAUGCUGGUUGUGAGCCGUGGCUGUUGUAAGCAGUGUGUAGAUGUGGGGUGGCCCUGUUAAUAGUGUUAAUCCUGAGCACAUAAACGUUAGGCCAGGCUAAGCCGUGAUUCUUGGUGGUUUAGUUAUAUCAAAUGCAUCUAACGUCCUGCUGUGGUUUGGAUGAGUAUCCCCCGAAGGUCCUGAUACAGCUGGACGCCCAGGGUGGUGGUAUUGGGAAAUGCUGUGGAUAAUUUGAGAGGUGACACCUUAGGUCACUGGGCCAUACCCUUGAUAAAUGAUGUGCAACCCAGUUUUCACUUUGCUCCCUGACUUGAAAUUUUGACUGCUCCAACAUGUGCUUCCAAGACUGUCAUCGACUGACUUUGCCAACACCAAGCAGAUAUGGGCACCAUGCCUCUGAACCUCCAAAACUGGAAGCUAAAUACACCUAUUUUCUUCUGUUAGUUACAGCAGGUAUUUUGUUCCAGCGACUCGUAGUUUACUAGAGCACUUAACAAUACUUUCAACUUACAAUGAUUUUAUUUGGAUAUAAUCUGACUGUAAGUUGAAGGGCAUCACAUGUACUCUUACAGUGGUACUGUUACAGGUGUGGCCUGUGUGAAGGAGUGUGUCACUGUCAGGGUGGGCUUUGAGAGCCUGUCUCUUCCUCAGUAACUCUGUCGCCUCCCAGAGUUGAGCAAGCCAGUCAGAUUUCUGUUAAGAAUUUAACAUCUGGAACCAAAAAUCCAAAGUGUUAAAUUGCAGCUUGCUGGGUUUUUGACAAUCUACAUGAAAAUCAAUUAUGACUGAUUCGAGUCCUGAAAGUUACAGAGAAGAGAUGGACGGCCUGGUGGAGGCCACAUGGUUUCCACGCAAGCCCUGGCAGAGGCUGUGUGAUUUCCAUGCAAACACUGACUCUGUUCCUUUGGGAGAGGGUUUCUGCAGUUUGAACAUGGUAUGACUGCAGGCAGGAAUUUGGGGUUUUUGUUUCUAUUCGACUUGUCUCUUGUUUAGUCUCCUAAGCUCAUCUUGUUCAACUCCUGGAUCUGUGGCUUGCUGUUUGGUCGUCGAUUGUGGCUCAUUCUAAAACAUUAUUAGUUCAAUUUUUAAAAAUCCUUUUAUUUUUUUUUUUUACGAAUCCACAACUUGUGUGUAGGAUAUUUCGAUAUUUUCCACGGUUCUGGAAUGUUCUGUUCUACCUCGUCAUCUGUUUUGGUGUUCCAUUUUAAUUUAUAAAGGUUCCGAGUGACUUAUUAUCUCCCGGGUACUUUCCAGCUCCAGCCAUGUUAGCCUGUGAUGAAUCCGUCCAAGGCGGUCUUCAGGUUUUGCUACUGUUUUCUAUUUGCAGCAUUUCCUCUCGGGUGCUUCAUGGUGCGUCUCUGCUUAUGAGCCGUUUGCUUGCUUGUGAGAUUCUUUAACAUCUUAGUCACAACCAUUUCAAACUUGAUCUUUCCGCUUGCCUUAUUAUGUCCGAAUCCGGUUGUGGCUACUGGGUCUGGUCACACUGGUUUUCUCUUGCCUUUCAGGAUAUUUAUGGCUAGGGGGUGAAAUCUGAACAUAUUUAUGGGUAAAGCUCACUUGGCCUUGUGGUUUUUAGACCUGAGGAGAAGCAGAUUGUAAUAGUUAAAAAAAAAAGUGUAUUUGCACAAAGUCACUCACUGUCUAUCAAAGGACAGUGACAGAGAUGGGGAGAGAGAAGGAGAGAGCAGGUUAUGAGAGACUGAGAGAUUGAUAGAAAGAGAAAUGGAGAGGGAAGGAGAGAAAAUCAGGGUGGGGGUCCCAACAUACUCUUCACAUGUGAAAGGUGCCCCAUGCUCUAAGGCAGUGGUCUCAACCUUCCUAAUGCUGCAACCCUUUAAUACAGUUGCUCAUGUUGUGCUGAUCCCCAGGCAUAAAAUUAAUUUCAUCACUACUUUAUGACUGUAAUUUUGCUGCUGCUGUGAAUGAAUCAUAAUAUAAAUAUCUAUGUUUUCUGAUAGUCUUACGUGACCCUUCUGAAAGGGUCGUUUGACUCUUAAAAGGUCAAGAUCCACAGGUUGACAACUGCUGCUCUAAAAACAUCCACAUCUCCCAGCAUAACCCAAACAAUCGGCGUGCGAACCCUCAGGAAGCAUUUUUGAUGCAAACCACAGCUUUUCCUUAAGAAGGGGAGCCGGCCUUCUCAGGGGCUUUAUGGGUCAUGGUUUAAAACUGAGCUUUCAUUUUUGUCUUUUUGUUUGUGUGAGAGCCUCCAUAUUACAAAUAAACCCAUCUUUUCUUUAGUUCUCUUGAACAGGUCAGCCAUGCAGUCAAGAGACCUGUGAAUGAAGUUCAUUGCCUUCCCGAGUCACAGCUCCCUCAAUUAUGUGGAGGAGACUGGGGUAAAAUAAUGUUAAAAUCUAUCUACUUGCUGGAGAUAGCAAAUAGCGCUCCAAAGGUAGCAUGAUUUCUUGAACUACUUCACUUUAGGUUAUCGAUCCUUCCGAAUUUUCAGAUCUAUCUUUGCUAUAAGGAAAGGUCAAUGGUUAUUAGUAAGAAGGAAAAAGAAAAAUGAAUAGCCUUUAAAACUGUGUCAGAGAAGACCCUUUCCAAGCAGCUAAGAAUGCUGUGACCACACCAGAACUCAUGGCAGCCAAAUGUAUAAACUCUAGUUUGCUGCUGUGCUAUCAAUCAUCCAUUAUGAAUAUAUUGCUUUCCCAUGCAGAAGCCCGUACUUGGUAGGCCAGUGCCAUAAUUGAACUAAAUCCCUAGCUCCCUGAUCUUUUACUCUAAGACAGCCCAAACCAUCUAUUUCUAAGGUCAAAGCAGAAUUAAAGCGUCUGCUCUACCUUUGUUCUGUCUGCCUGGCAUCCCGCUUUCCCCUGCAAAUACCAAUGCACUCAUUGUGGAGACUGGUCUGUCCGCAGCCUCAAGUGUUCCCCGUUACUCAAAGAACUCCCCCCCCUUAUAGAAACCUGAAACUGUCAGGUAAGUUAGUCUGACUGCUUCCUUGAAUCUUUCCGACUCAAAUGUGUGGAGACAGGAGACAUCCUUCCUCUGCUAAGUCCUGCAGGUUGCCUCAUGUCGAGCUAUGUGGAGGAACCCAGGAAAGUGGAAUCAGAAUGCACAGAAUGGAGAGGAAGAGGAGAAUCCUCACAGAAUCUGUGCUCUUGGGGCUGGCUGUGUGGUUAGAUGAGCAGUUCUUUCUGCCCAGAUUAUUACGUGUCAUUGUUAGCCUGUGCAAUGCAGAAGUUGAUAGAACAGACUUCUGUUUGAGGUUGAUUGUUAACUUCUAAAGUGUUACCUUCCAGCACAUUCAGAAAGUCAACAGAGAAAUACCUCAAGGUACUCUUCUCCAAAAUACCAAAGACAACAGUAAGUUAAAGAAGGGACUUAAAAAUGAAAAUACCAUAGGCCUUCUUGGCUGAAUUAUGUGCAGAGCAUCAUCUGCUCUGUACCAUGAAACUGUCUAUAAAUGCAGAUAUCUGUCACAGAACUGACUUAUAGAAAGAUUAAAUAGAGUUCAUGAGGAGCUUACAACUUCUAAGAUAGCACUAUUUGAAUCAAGAAUGGGUCAUGCAUCACUUUUAGGAACAGUGCCUUGAGAUUUAUUUUCUAACAUCACUGAUGUUCAAUUUCUUCUUUUGAAAAAUGGGGGUGUGGUUGUUUUGGUGGAGCUCCUGAUUCAACCUGAGGUGAUCCUAUCAGAAAAUUAACAACUGCCAGCCAUUGAGCAUUAUUUGUGAGAGUUAACUUGCAUUCGUGGUUUUGUGAGGAAAGUUUUCUGCAGAAAGGAGAGGGGUUCCUGCAUGUAGAAAUACUGAAGAGCAAAACUUGGUUAUGUCUACUUAGUUACUGUUCUAUUUCUGUGAAGAGGUACCAUGACCAAAGCAACUCCUAUAAAAGAAAACAUUUAAUUUGGGAGGCUUGCUUACAGUUCCAGAGAGCUGGCCAUGACUGUCCUGGUAGGAAUAGAGCAGCAGGCAGGCAGGCAUGGUGCUGGAGAAGUAACUGAGGACUUUACAUCCUGAUCCACAGGCAUCAGGCAGAGGGAGACUGAGACUCCCAGUGACACACCUCCCCCUACAAGGCCACACCUCCUAAGCUUUCCCAAACAGUUCCACUCCCUGGUGACUCAGCAUUCAAACAAAUGAGUCCAUGAGAGCUGUUCUCAUUCAAACCACCACACCUGCUGAGAUGACUUUAUCCUUAAGGGAGUUGAUUGCUAAAACAAUUGCAUCCAUAUAGAACAAGAUACAAGAUAGGGCUGAGAAGUGACUAUAUUAUUCUUCUAGCUAGUUCUCUAUAGAAUUUUCUCCACACUUUUGAUGAUGACAUCAUAGGAUUUCUUCUGUGUUAGUUAAAAAUAACAUUAGUUUAAACACUUAAUCUUGCUAAGAGUAGAAGAAUUUUUGUGCUUAAACACACCUUCACUUCAUUCCUUCAGGACACUAAAGUGGCCAACCUGAUCAACUGUCCUAAGGUUACCUUUAUACUGUUAGUUUAUACCUUAUCACACAUUGGGUAUAAAUAUUAAUGUACUUUAACCCAUGUCAUCCACAUUUUAUACUCACAAACAGCUCUUUCCUUUUUUAAAAAAGAUUUUAUUUUAUGUAUAUGAGCACACUGUAGCUGUCUUCAUGCACACCAGAAGAGGGUAUCAGAUCCCAUUACAGAUGGUUGUGAGCCACCAUAUAAUUGCUGGGACUUGAACUCAGGACCUCUGGGAGAGCAGUCAGUGUUCUUAACUGCUGAGCCAUCUCUCCAGUCUCACAAAUAAUUCUUAUCAUAUUCAGUCCACUUAUUUUUAUGCUAUUUAUAUUUUAUAAACAUACCAUAAGUGAGAAGCAAAUAAAUCAGCCAAAACUUUAUUUGAGCUUCAUAGAACAGCAACUAUCAUUCAGGGUUCACUCCAAGUAGGAUUUAAAAAAAGAAAAACAUUGUUUAGUAAUUAGCUGAGGGAAAAAAGUAAAAAUUAAAAUAGCUUAGAAACAUCCUGGUUGUUGUUAACAAGGAUGAUUUCAACUUGUCCACCAUUUUUUGUCUUACCAAAGGAACAACACUUUUUCAGUUGUGUUUAGUAAGUGUUCAUGUUGCUCAUAAUCUUGUUCUGUCCUGAAUUAGUAAGCACCUACAUAGAGAAAUCCUGUCUCCAAAAAAAAAAAAAAAAAAAAAAUGUUUGAAGCCAGGCCAGCCUACAGAGCCCUUGUCUCCCAAACCAAAAAUAAUUCAAUUCUAACAAGAAUUUCAGAACUGGAUUUCCUCUCCUUCUCUUCUCCUUGGAAUCCAUAACUUGUAUGUUUGAUCUUUCCCCAUGGCUUUUCAAUAUUCUAUCCUGUCUUACCAUCCCCCUGCCUUUGCCCCAAGUCCUAGGAUUAAAGGUAGGAACUACUACACCUAGAUUUUCCCCAUUUACUUUAUUGUAUUUAGAAAACGUAUGUCUGUGUGUUUUGCCUGUGUGUGUGUGUGUAUGUGUGUGUGUGUGUGUGUGUGUGUGUGUGUGUGUGUGUGUACGUGCAUGCCAGAUGUCUGAAUAGGUCAGAAAAAAGCAUUGGAUCCCAACUUACAGAUGUUUGUAAACCACCACAUGGGUGCUGGGAACUGAACCGAGUUCUCUGCAAGAGCACCAAUUGUUCUUAACUACUGAGGCAUCUCUCCUGCCCUGAUAACUGUAUUUUUAACUAAUGCAGCUAACCUGUAAGAUGUUUUUUCUAGAAAGAAAUAUCGUUUUAAGAUGGAGGAAGACUGUACCCAUCUGACCCUUAAGCUUCCUAAGAGGUAACUACUGUCCACCCUCCAAUACUUAGUGUCCAGGUACUCCGUGUAUGGCUCAUGUUGAUGGCACAGUAUUAGUACUGUGAGAGUUGCUGGAAGUGUAGUGGGCAGAGCACAGCUGGCUGGCCAAACAGCUGGCUUUCUCUUUAUUAUUCAGUUCCAGAUCCAGCCCAUGGGAUGAUAGCAUUCACAUUUAGUAUGAGCUUCAGCCAAGUUCUCUGGAAAUGCCUUCAAGUACAUGGCCAGAGAUGUGUCUCUAGGUGACUAAAAAGUCAUCAAACUGACAAUUAGUAUAAACAUCAUAGGACUGGCAUUUUCAUUUAACCAUGGAAAAACUGAUUAAGUAGUCUGGUCCCUCUGAAAGGAAAUGAAGGUGUGUAGUGGGUAGUGCUAUGAGAAAUGUCUAUGUGUAAUAUUUUUACCACUGCCCGCCCAUUAUCGAGUACUAACCAUGUCAGUUUCUCAUUUAAUUCUCUGAGCGAUGUCUAAAGUAGCUAUUAUGAUUACAGAUAAGUGAAUUGGUAAACAUGGAGGACAAAUUUUCCUAACUCAUUUGUCUGGUCCAUGAUAGAGCUGACAGUUACAUGGACACACAGCCAAGCCAACUGCUGCUUUGGACCAGGCGAGAUGCCCAGUACUGUAGAACCACUGUUGGGGACAAAGAGAAAGGAAAGGAUUAUUGAGCUUAUUAAAAUGGAGCAGAUUUGAUGAGAAAAACUACAAAUACUACUUUAGUACAGCAAACCGAAGAAAUACGAGUGAAAAAUCUUGAGACUGAUCCUAGCCCAUGGCACAAGAGCCACAGGAGUGGGCAGGGCUAAUCUCAUAGUUUUAUAACUACAUGUGUCAUUUCAAAGGAUAUGAGACCACCUUGCUAUAUUUAUUGCUGCCCACCCCUUCUAGCUUUCUUUACAAUGCAAUGGUGCCCCAUCACUACCAACACCACCACACGUGGCAGGUUUGUCACUCCCCGCAAUAGCUUAUUUAAGGGAAAUUAUGAGAUGCCGACUCUGGAAGUUUCUGAACAUCCAGCUUUCAUCUGAUAGGUUUAAUGGUAGUCCUUUCUCAAGUCAAGAAAGUCCUCUGGCUAACCUCCCUGACCAUCUCAUAACCUACAUAUAUAAUGUGGGCAUGCUGACCCACAGAUCUUACCAAAUAUCAAUGAGUGCUUGUCAGCACUCAAGAAACUGGGUUUUAGGUAGGAACCAAUAGCGUUGGAAACAGAAAUGCCAGAUGCACGGUGUAAAAUGUCCUGAAGAGUCCAGGAUGCGGUAUGAAUAAAACUGCGGAAAGGGUGUUUUAUUUGGGAGAAAUUUUAUAGCUAGAAAUAAUUUUAAGCAAAUGUAUAUAGCUGUAACUAUCAUCAAAUAGUUUAAGUCAUUCAAAGAAUUAAGCAGAGCUGGGGUUUUAAAGACAAUCAUAAAAUAUCAUCGAAGCAUGAUGGUAGUAGUAAGAUCAUGGAGAAAUUUAAAUUAUAAAUAAGGUUUAUGUAGCUCUAGGGAUCCACAACUUUAGCAAUAUUUUCUAUAUGACACCACGAUAAUGAAAUCAUUUUCCUCAAUAAUUUAAUCCUUACCAACUCCACAGGUUACCUGCCAAACCCAGGCAGGAAACUGAAGCCUACACAUUAGGCUACACGUUCAGGCUUACAGUAGUUGGGUUGGGCCUGGUUUAACCACAAAGCCUAACCUGAACAUCCAGUCCCUGCAGUGUGCUUCCUCUGUAGGACCUGAACAUCCAGUCCCUGCAGUGUGCUUCCUCUGUAGGACCUGAACAUCCAGUCCCUGCAGUGUGCUUCCUCUGUAGGACCUGAACAUCCAGUCCCUGUAGUGUGCUUCCUCUGUAGGACCUGAACAUCCAGUCCCUGUAGUGUGCUUCCUCUGUAGGACCUGAUUUGUUCUUCAGCAUCAAGAAAAUGUACACCUAGUAGCUGGGGACCCAGCUCAGUUUGUAAAGUGCUUUCUGUGCAAGCCUAAGUCCAAGUUUAUAAUGCUCAGGACCCACACCAAAGCUGGGCAUCAUGUCUGUACCCAUAAUCCACCACUGUAAUGCCGUAGGGGCAGAGAGGGUGGGACCCUAGGGCUAGCUGAAUUGCUGAGUUUCAAAUUCUGAGACAAUGUCUUUUAAAAAGAAAGGUGGAUAAGCCAGGCACAGCGGUGCACACUUUUAAUCCCAGUACUGGAGUCAGAGCCAGGUGGAUCUCUGAGUUCAAGACUGGCCCGCUCUACAGCAUGAGUUCGAGGCCACUUAGGGCCACAUAGUAAGACACUGUCUCAGAAAAAAAAAAAAAAAGUAGACAGCAGUAGAAUACACACUGCAUACUCAAUGAUCACACACACACACACACACACACACACACACACACACACACACACAC